rnacentral:tRNA from 1 species
GCCCGGGUGGUGAAAUGGCAAACACGGCGGACUCAAAAUCCGCUGCCGGCAACGGCUUGUGGGUUCGACCCCCACCCCGGGCA